rnacentral:rRNA from 1 species
AUUGAACGCUGGCGGCAGGCCUAACACAUGCAAGUCGAGCGAGCGGCGGAUGGGUGAGUAAUGUAUGGGGACUGCCCGAUAGAGGGGGAUAACUACUGGAAACGGUGGCUAAUACCGCAUACUAUCGGAUAACCCAUAUGGUAUUAGCUAGUAGGUGUGGUAAAGGCUAACUUAGGCGACGAUCUCUAGCUGGUCUGAGAGGAUGAUCAGCCACACUGGGACUGCGACACGGCCCAGACUCCUACGGUGGCAGCAGUGGGGAAUAUUGCACAGUGGGAGCAAUCCUGAUGCAGCCAUACCGCGUGAAUGAAGAAGGCCGUAGGGUUGUGAGGUACUGUCAGCGGGCAGGCGUUACCCGCAGAAGAAGCACCGGCUAACUCCGUGCCAGCAGCCGCGGUAAUAC